UGCCAAAACACCACUGAAUCC
rnacentral:piRNA from 1 species